CUCGAUGUUGGCGCUUGACAGAAAAUUAUCCGGACUAGUGAGAAAAUAACAGCAAUUUCAGCAGUUGUGCUAGCUGAGAGCACAAACCGGAUGAAGCAUUUUGUAAACACUUCCAACUUCCGAUCUAGAUCUUCAAGAAAACAUUGAAAUGCUGCAAAAUGUUAGGGGAGCAGUACCAGGUUGCCAUCGUGGGAACAUGUUUUGCUUCGUGAGCAUGAUGCAUCAAAACAAGCAUGACAGGCUCCAUCAACAUCUGCCCCGGCACGUGAAGUGAUUGGGCAGAAGACUAUGAGGACCUGGCCAUCCUGACUGCAUGAAAUGAGCUGAACCCGGUCCUGCACUUGAGCUUGGACCCUGGCCAUCAGCUGAAGAUGAG